UAAUCGCAGAUCAGAAUGCUGCGGUGAAUACGUUCCCGGGUCUUGUACACACCGCCCGUCACACCAUGGGAGUCGGGAAUGCCCGAAGUCAGUGACCCAACCGCAAGGAGGGAGCUGCCGAAGGCAGGCUCGAUAACUGGGGUGAAGUCGUAACAAGGUACC
rnacentral:rRNA from 1 species